UACGAAGGGUGCAAGCGUUACUCGGAAUCACUGGGCGUAAAGCGUGCGUAGGCGGUUUCUUAAGUCUGUCGUGAAAGCCCUGGGCUCAACCUGGGAAUGGCGAUGGAUACUGGGAAGCUAGAGUGUGAUAGAGGAUGGUGGAAUUCCCGGUGUAGCGGUGAAAUGCGUAGAGAUCGGGAGGAACACCAGUGGCGAAGGCGGCCAUCUGGAUCAACACUGACGCUGAGGCACGAAAGCGUGGGGAGCAAACAGG
rnacentral:rRNA from 1 species